AUGCGGCAAACCUGGCGGGGAGGGGGGAUUUCGCCUCUGGCCCCUUCCCGGCCGUGCUGGCGGGAGAGAGCACGGGCUGCCGCUGAGGCGAGCCUCUGCCGCGCGGGAAGGAGCCCUUCCUCCGCCGAUCAGGUGGCCGCGCCGCUCGGGCUCUCUCGCCAGCGGCGUCGCUCUGACCGCGUCCCGCGCUUUGCAGAGGUGCAGUGCUGGGGGCUCGAUCGCAGCCGAAGCAGCGGGCCUCAGCCGAGCCUUCCCGCCAGCGCCGGAGGAGAAGGGUCGCGUGAGGCCGGACGCCCCCCUGACCCGGCGCGCUUUCCUCUGGAGCUGCGGGCGCGCCUCCCCGGCGCGGGCGGAGACGAGGCCCCGAGGCGCGGGGGCGGUGCCGGAGAGAAGCGCUCCGCCCGCGCCAGGCUUUGCCUUCCGAGCAGCCUCAGCCUCAGCCCCAGCGGCGGCUGGAGUCAGCUGGCUGCACUCUCAGCUCGCGUCGAGGAACCGCCCGCCGGCGGAGGCAGCUUUGGCGCUGCACUUGAGUCGGUCGGUACUCGCUCGCCAGCUCUGCGGGCCCAGGAGCGACACCGCCGGCGCCUCUCCUCGCCGAGGCUCGGGCCCGCAACCGAGCCCAGCCGCCGAUGUCAGCCGGGCCGAGGCGCUUUAUUUGCAGGCUCGCAACCGCCCAAGUUUGCCCGUUGUUGUUCGUGCCCAGCCCGCAAAAACAAGGCAGGAUGAAUGCGGUCGGAAGGCAUCCCAGCGCGAGGCAGGCGUUUCCUCAUGGACUUGCUGCGCUCUUUCCUUUGUACACCAGGGUCCUGGGCUCCUUUCCCUGCGGCCCUCGCCCUCCCGGAGGGUCUUUCCCCUUUUUGCUGGUCCUUCUGCACACUCCAGAGAAGGACCCAAGGCCGCACAGGGGAGCGAGCGCAAGGCUGCUGCGCCCAGGAAACACUGUUGAGGCCAAGCAUGCUGCCAAGGGAGGCAAGACAAGGACUCCUGUGAUGAUGCAGCUGCUGGUCUGGUCUCUGGCCAAUCUCUCCUCUUCCUCCUCCUUUGGCAGAGCAGCAGGCAAGGCACUUUGGGCUGCAGGAUGCGAAUGCUUGAGGUUCCACGAACACACUCUUCAAAUUGGGAAAGGAGGUGGCUUCCGGAUGCCUGGCUGGCCUCUGGUGUCCCCUUGGACUGGGGGUCUCCCAAGGGAGGCUUGGUUGUCUCUCGCUUCUGAGCGGCAUUCGUCAAAAUGGACACCUGAUCUUCCAGCAGCCUAGUCACAGUGCCUUUUCACGUGUUUGCUGACCUCAGAAGCCCAGUUUGGUUCUUUUUUUAUUUGCAUUGCAGCUUGUUUAAACUUCACAAAAGCCCUGCAAGGACUGAAGUGAACUUGGCUGGUGUAGGGCCAUCCUGUCUUGAUGAUCACAACAUGCUUUGUGGGCUAAAAGCCCUUUAAAACCAUAGCUGGUCCAAAAUGUGGGUAAGCAGCACAGGAUACAAAGAUUACACAAUGGCUGCGCUGAAAGAACCACCCUGUUUACUGUGCUGGUGUUAAGAUCUGCAGAAGAUCUUUUGAAAACAUUUAGUAGUGCAGCCUUGCAAUUGGCUACAGACUGGACUAGAGGAUCUCUAGGGACCUAGCAUUGUGCAAUUCCGAGCUGAGAGAGCCUUCUUUCUGACAGGAGGGAGAAAGAUUCCAGACUAUGGAAUACACUGGGAAUUUGAAUUUAAUUAAUUUUGAACUAAAUGUAAAUAUGUUUAAGAUUUUAGAAAUGUAACUAUAAUCUGAGGAUUUCCCAAGGAAUCAACAUCUCUUCAUAUAGGUGAUUUGCUAUAUUGGCAAAAAAUAAAAUGGAAAUUAGAUGUAAGUAAUAUAAUAAGAAAAUAAUAAUUUAUUGUACUCUUAUGCUCCUCC
rnacentral:lncRNA from 1 species